AGAAGAAGAAGAAGAACCCUUUACCAAGAACCGACAUCCGUAUGAUGUAUAUCCGUAUCUUGAUAUUGUGUACCAAUACGAGGGAACUCCUUAGUGCAAAAAUUCUUUUUCCCUCCCUCCCGCCUAAAUUACGUACGGCUUGUUAAAAGAAGAGGACCUAUAACUCCCGAGGAAGCUGCUAUAAAGGAGCCAUACUAUCAUCACCUUGUUGCUUCUGGCUGGGGUCACAAAGUUAAACCAAUGGGAAAACAAUAGUUGGCCAAGCUUAGUUGAAACUCUGCAGCAGCAGCAGCAGAUUCUUAAAUCCACUCAAGAUCCUUUUGGGCUGUAAGUAAGUAAACCUUAUCUAAAAUGUUUUGGUGUAUUGUCACUUUGACCUAUGGUAUGGGGCAAAAUUACUAGGUUUGAAGGUUGCAAGUCAGUAAACCGUAUUUACAUCUUAAAUGUUUUGGUGUGUUUAGCACUUUUCUCUAUGGUAUGGACAAUAUUACU